CAAAUACUCCCUCCGUCUGGAAAUACUUGUCAUCAAAAUGGAUAANGUAUUUUAGUUUUAGAUACAUCUCUUUUUAUCCAUUUUGAUGACAAGUAUUUUCGGACGGAGGGAGUAGAAA
rnacentral:pre_miRNA from 1 species